rnacentral:rRNA from 1 species
UACGGAGGAUGCAAGCGUUAUCCGGAUUUAUUGGGUUUAAAGGGUACGUAGGCGGAAAAUUAAGUCAGUGGUGAAAUCCCGCAGCUUAACUGUGGAACUGUCAUUGAUACUGGUUUUCUUGAAUGUAGUUGAGGUAGGCGGAAUGUGUAAUGUAGCGGUGAAAUGCUUAGAUAUUACACAGAACACCGAUUGCGAAGGCAGCUUACUAAGCUAUGAUUGACGCUGAGGUACGAAAGCGUGGGGAGCGAACACG